GGACGGGUGAGUAAUGUCUGGGAAACUGCCUGAUGGAGGGGGAUAACUACUGGAAACGGUAGCUAAUACCGCAUAACGUCGCAAGACCAAAGAGGGGGACCUUCGGGCCUCUUGCCAUCGGAUGUGCCCAGAUGGGAUUAGCUAGUAGGUGGGGUAACGGCUCACCUAGGCGACGAUCCCUAGCUGGUCUGAGAGGAUGACCAGCCACACUGGAACUGAGACACGGUCCAGACUCCUACGGGAGGCAGCAGUGGGGAAUAUUGCACAAUGGGCGCAAGCCUGAUGCAGCCAUGCCGCGUGUAUGAAGAAGGCCUUCGGGUUGUAAAGUACUUUCAGCGGGGAGGAAGGGAGUAAAGUUAAUACCUUUGCUCAUUGACGUUACCCGCAGAAGAAGCACCGGCUAACUCCGUGCCAGCAGCCGCGGUAAUACGGAGGGUGCAAGCGUAAUCGGAAUUACUGGG
rnacentral:rRNA from 1 species